UACGGGGGGGGUAAGCGUUGUUCGGAAUUACUGGGCGUAAAGGGCUCGUAGGCGGCCAACUAAGUCAGACGUGAAAUCCCUCAGCUUAACUGGGGAACUGCGUCUGAUACUGGAUGGCUUGGAUUCGGGAGAGGAAUGCGGAAUUCCAGGUGUAGCGGUGAAAUGCGUAGAUAUCUGGAGGAACACCGGUGGCGAAGGCGGCAUUCUGGACCGAUAUUGACGCUGAGGAGCGAAAGUGUGGGGAGCGAACAGG
rnacentral:rRNA from 1 species